rnacentral:rRNA from 1 species
ACGGAGGGUGCAAGCGUUAUUCGGAAUUACUGGGCGUAAAGGGCGCGCAGGCGGCACUUUAAGUCAGGCGUGAAAGCCCGGGGCUCAACCCCGGAAGUGCGUUUGAUACUAAAGAGCUCGAGUACGGGAGAGGGAAGUGGAAUUCCUGGUGUAGAGGUGAAAUUCGUAGAUAUCAGGAGGAACACCGGUGGCGAAGGCGACUUCCUGGACCGAUACUGACGCUGAGGCGCGAAAGCGUGGGGAGCAAACAGG